rnacentral:rRNA from 1 species
ACGUUAGCGGCGGACGGGUGAGUAACACGUGGGUAACCUACCUAUAAGACUGGGAUAACUUCGGGAAACCGGAGCUAAUACCGGAUAAUAUUUCGGACCGCAUGGUUCGAUAGUGAAAGAUGGUUUUGCUAUCACUUAUAGAUGGACCCGCGCCGUAUUAGCUAGUUGGUAAGGUAACGGCUUACCAAGGCGACGAUACGUAGCCGACCUGAGAGGGUGAUCGGCCACACUGGAACUGAGACACGGUCCAGACUCCUACGGGAGGCAGCAGUG